UGGGGAAUUUUGGACAAUGGGCGAAAGCCUGAUCCAGCAAUGCCGCGUGUGUGAAGAAGGCCUUCGGGUUGUAAAGCACUUUUGUCCGGAAAGAAAUCCUUGGCUCUAAUACAGUCGGGGGAUGACGGUACCGGAAGAAUAAGCACCGGCUAACUACGUGCCAGCAGCCGCGGUAAUACGUAGGGUGCAAGCGUUAAUCGGAAUUACUGGGCGUAAAGCGUGCGCAGGCGGUUUGCUAAGACCGAUGUGAAAUCCCCGGGCUCAACCUGGGAACUGCAUUGGUGACUGGCAGGCUAGAGUAUGGCAGAGGGGGGUAGAAUUCCACGUGUAGCAGUGAAAUGCGUAGAGAUGUGGAGGAAUACCGAUGGCGAAGGCAGCCCCCUGGGCCAAAUACUGACGCUCAUGCACGAAAAGCGUGGGGAGCAAAACAGGAUUAGAUACCCUGGUAGUCCACGCCCUAAAACGAUGUCAACUAGUUGUUGGGGAUUCAUUUCCUUAGUAACGUAGCUAAACGCGUGAAGUUGACCGCCUGGGGAGUACGGUCGCAAGAUUAAAAACUCAAAGGAAUUGACGGGGUCAUAGCUG
rnacentral:rRNA from 1 species